rnacentral:rRNA from 1 species
GAUGAACGCUAGCGGCAGGCUUAAUACAUGCAAGUCGUGGGGCAGCAUGAAUGUAGCAAUACAUUUGAUGGCGACCGGCAAACGGGUGCGGAACACGUACACAACCUUCCUAUAAGUGGGGUAUAGCCCAGAGAAAUUUGGAUUAAUACCCCGUAACAUAACGAUGUGGCAUCACAUUGUUAUUAUAGCUUCGGCGCUUAUUGAUGGGUGUGCGGCUGAUUAGAUAGUUGGCGGGGUAACGGCCCACCAAGUCUACGAUCAGUAGCUGAUGUGCGAGCAUGAUCAGCCACACGGGCACUGAGACACGGGCCCGACUCCUACGGGAGGCAGCAGUAAGGAAUAUUGGUCAAUGGACGCAAGUCUGAACCAGCCAUGCCGCGUGAAGGAUUAAGGUCCUCUGGAUUGUAAACUUCUUUUAUCUGGGACGAAAAAAGGCUUUUCUAAGUCACUUGACAGUACCAGAUGAAUAAGCACCGGCUAACUCCGUGCCAGCCGCCGCCGUAACAC